rnacentral:rRNA from 1 species
UACGUAGGGGGCGAGCGUUGUCCGGAAUCAUUGGGCGUAAAGCGCGUGUAGGCGGUUCAGUAAGUCUGCUGUGAAAGUCCAGGGCUCAACCCUGGGAUACCGGUGGAUACUGCUGAACUAGAGUGCGGAAGAGGCGAGUGGAAUUCCCGGUGUAGCGGUGAAAUGCGCAGAUAUCGGGAGGAACACCAAUUGCGAAGGCAGCUCGCUGGGACGUUACUGACGCUGAGACGCGAAAGCGUGGGGAGCAAACAGG